rnacentral:lncRNA from 1 species
UGGACUCAGCUACCUGCAAAGGAUAUCAACACUAUGGAGAUGCUCUUUGCUUUGAUCUUGUCCUCCGCUGAAGACAUCAGGCUUAGCAACAUUCCUGCGUGUCUAGAAUAUCUGUUCUCCCUUUGCUCCAAGGCAAGUACUGUAUGUAGAUGUCUCCAAAAUUGAAAUACUUCACAACAGCAUACUUUGAUCCUGGAAUACAGUAAACAGCAUGAUAAAUGGAAUUGUCCGGGGCUGUGUGGUCCAGACUAAAAAACUAAUAGAAGAAGAAUCAUCUUAAAGAGGUAUCAACUCAGAAGAAAGCUUCGAAAGAGAUAAAUUUACAUAUAUAGAAUGACUGAUGUUUUAUUCAAAUCCUGCUUUAGCCAAUGCAGUCCUUGAUGAGGAGAUCAAAACAC